GCCCCUGGGGUGGGAGCAGGCGGGAGAGCCCGUGGUCCCAGCUGCUGGCGGGAAUGGUCUGGCUGGUCCUCCUGCCCGGGUGGGUCAGGAGUUGAACCCGGGUCCCUGCCCUGCAGGGCUGCCACAAGAUCCCCUCUGAGCGACCAUGACUGAUAAUCUGCCUCCGCCUCUCUGGGCGCAAGGGUGUUGUCACAGAUGAUGGCAGGAUUAGGCACCAAGCCAAAGCCAGUGCUGGAAUCCACGCCCUGGCCAGCCCCGCCCACAGCCUCAGCCCCCUCUGGGAGCUCAUGGAGGAGCUGCCACUGGAAGGGAUGGUGGGGGCUGCUUCCCCCAUGUCCGAGGCCACCCAAGGAGGGGCCUGGAGCAUGAGCUACUCUGUGCCUGGACCCUCCCCUCUGACCUGCAUCUCCAGGCAGGGGCAGGGCUGUGCCUGGGAAGUGGGGUUUGCCGCUUAGGGGCUGGUGUGCCCUAACAGAGGAAGCGGUGGUGUCACUAGUGAACACCUUCCCAGAUCCCCCAGAAACACAGAAACAAACCCUUCAGCUUGUAAAGGUCUUCAACUUUGCGUGGUGUAAAAGCAACACGCGUCCCACGGAGACCACACGCUGCAUUUUGAUCUUCCCCUGGGGCUAGCGAGACCCAGCGGCCUGCUCAGUGCCCACGCUCCUGGGCAGCCCUGGGGCCACGGGAAGAGGAAAGGAGGGUGCUCACAGCAUUCUGUGGGGCUGAGCUAUGUGGUCAGUAGCGCCAAUGUACCAGGUAUAUUUUUGACUUACUAUAUUUUCAGUUCACAAUGGAUUUUUCAGGGCACAAUCCCCUCAUAAAUUGGCGAGCAUCUGUAUCAGAUACCUUGAUUUUAGCUCAGAGGGACAAAUUCUGCCAUAAAUUCAGCUUCUCCUGAAAAGGACUGCAUUGGGAAACUUAAAACAUUUCUAAAAAAGACAUGAGUUGAGAAGGAAUCAAUGGAAAAGUUUCAAAGUCUUAAAAACUGAGCAAUCGUUCAAAAUGUACAUUAUGUGGGGGUGGGGCUGGGGCUCAGUGGCAGAAUGCUGGUGAGGCCCUGGGUUCGACCCUCAGCAUCACAUAAAAAUAAACAAAAUAAAGGCAUCCUGUCCAUCUAUAACUACAAAAAAACUUUAAAAAUGUACAUUAUGUGUUGAAACCUGAGGUGCAGCCAAAAUGGUAUAUAGAGGACAAAUCAUAGUCUUGAAUACACAAUGAGAAAACGUUUGAAAAGACAUGAACUUAAGAGAGAAAUGGGACUGGAAUUGUUGGUACAGCCUUGUGUAGCAUGCACACGACUCUGG
rnacentral:lncRNA from 1 species